CAGCACCUCAAGUGGUCAGGAUGAUUACUGGGCCUAAAGCAUCCGUAGCCGGCUCUGUAAGUUUUCGGUUAAAUCUGUACGCUCAACGUACAGGCUGCCGGGAAUACUGCAGCGCUAGGGAGUGGGAGAGGUAGACGGUACUCGGUAGGAAGGGGUAAAAUCCUUUGAUCUAUUGAUGACCACCUGUGGCGAAGGCGGUCUACCAGAACACGUCCGACGGUGAGGGAUGAAAGCUGGGGGAGCAAACCGGAUUAGAUACCCGAGUAGUCC
rnacentral:rRNA from 1 species